rnacentral:rRNA from 1 species
GUGUAGGUGUGUGUUCCAGGUAAAUCCGGUUCACUUUAACACUGAGGCGUGACGACGAGGCACUACGGUGCUGAAGCAACAAAUGCCCUGCUUCCAGGAAAAGCCUCUAAGCAUCAGGUAACAUCAAAUCGUACCCCAAACCGACACAGGUGGUCAGGUAGAGAAUACCAAGGCGCUUGAGAGAACUCGGGUGAAGGAACUAGGCAAAAUGGUGCCGUAACUUCGGGAGAAGGCACGCUGACACGUAGGUGAAGUGAUUUACUCAUGGAGCUGAAGUCAGUCGAAGAUACCAGCUGGCUGCAACUGUUUAUUAAAAACACAGCACUGUGCAAACACGAAAGUGGACGUAUACGGUGUGACGCCUGCCCGGUGCCGGAAGGUUAAUUGAUGGGGUCAGCGCAAGCGAAGCUCCUGAUCGAAGCCCCGGUAAACGGCGGCCGUAACUAUAACGGUCCUAAGGUAGCGAAAUUCCUUGUCGGGUAAGUUCCGACCUGCACGAAUGGCGUAAUGAUGGCCAGGCUGUCUCCACCCGAGACUCAGUGAAAUUGAACUCGCUGUGAAGAUGCAGUGUACCCGCGGCAAGACGGAAAGACCCCGUGAACCUUUACUAUAGCUUGACACUGAACAUUGAGCCUUGAUGUGUAGGAUAGGUGGGAGGCUUUGAAGUGUGGACGCCAGUCUGCAUGGAGCCGACCUUGAAAUACCACCCUUUAAUGUUUGAUGUUCUAACGUGGACCCGUUACCCGGGUUGCGGACAGUGUCUGGUGGGUAGUUUGACUGGGGCGGUCUCCUCCUAAAGAGUAACGGAGGAGCACGAAGGUUGGCUAAUCCUGGUCGGACAUCAGGAGGUUAGUGCAAUGGCAUAAGCCAGCUUGACUGCGAGCGUGACGGCGCGAGCAGGUGCGAAAGCAGGUCAUAGUGAUCCGGUGGUUCUGAAUGGAAGGGCCAUCGCUCAACGGAUAAAAGGUACUCCGGGGAUAACAGGCUGAUACCGCCCAAGAGUUCAUAUCGACGGCGGUGUUUGGCACCUCGAUGUCGGCUCAUCACAUCCUGGGGCUGAAGUAGGUCCCAAGGGUAUGGCUGUUCGCCAUUUAAAGUGGUACGCGAGCUGGGUUUAGAACGUCGUGAGACAGUUCGGUCCCUAUCUGCCGUGGGCGCUGGAGAACUGAGGGGGGCUGCUCCUAGUACGAGAGGACCGGAGUGGACGCAUCACUGGUGUUCGGGUUGUCAUGCCAAUGGCACUGCCCGGUAGCUAAAUGCGGAAGAGAUAAGUGCUGAAAGCAUCUAAGCACGAAACUUGCCCCGAGAUGAGUUCUCCCUGAGACUUAGAGUCUCCUGAA